UACAUGGGGUGCAAACGUUGCUCGGAAUUAUUGGGCGUAAAGCGCACGUAGGUGGUCUGUUAUGUCAGAUGUGAAAGCCCUCGGCUUAACUGAGGAAGUGCACCUGAAACUGGCAGGCUUGAGUACGAAAGAGGGUCGCGGAAUUCCCGGUGUAGAGGUGAAAUUCGUAGAUAUCGGGAGGAACACCGGUGGCGAAGGCGGCGACCUGGUUCGAUACUGACACUGAGGCGCGAAAGCGUGGGUAGCAAACAGG
rnacentral:rRNA from 1 species